rnacentral:misc_RNA from 1 species
UUUCCGCAGGUGAACCUGCGGAAGGAUCAUUAAUGUGUUUGGGCCUCACGGCUCUUCAUUCCGACGCUGUGCGCCUUCGGGCUGCACGCUGAGGGAGCAUAUAUCCACCCCUGUGCACACACACGGUGGCGGGCUGGGUAACGGCUCGCCGCUGAUCUUUACACACGUCUAAAAGUCAUUGUAUGUUUAUUUGAGAUAAAAACACAACUUUCAGCAACGGAUCUCUUGGCUCUC